GAGCCUGAGAAACGGCUACCACAUCCAAGGAUGGCAGCAGGCGCGCAAAUUACCCAAUCCCGACACGGGGAGGUAGUGACAAUAAAUAACAAUACGGGGUUCUUUAGGAUCUCGUAAUUGGAAUGAGUACAAUUUAAAUCUCUUAACGAGGAACAAUUGGAGGGCAAGUCUGGUGCCAGCAGCCGCGGUAAUUCCAGCUCCAAUAGCGUAUAUUAAAGUUGUUGCAGUUAAAAAGCUCGUAGUUGAAUUUCGGGGUUAGUAGGUUGGUCAUGCCUCUGGUAUGUACUGGUCUCACUGAUUCCUCCUUCCUUAUGAACCGUAAUGCCAUUAAUUUGGUGUUGCGGGGAAUUUGGACUGUUACUUUGAAAAAAUUAGAGUGUUUAAAGCAAGCUAACGCUUGAAUACAUUAGCAUGGAAUAAUGAAAUAGGACGUUCGAUCUUAUUUUGUUGGUUUCUAGGAUUGACGUAAUGAUUAAUAGGGAUAGUUGGGGGCAUUAGUAUUCAAUUGUCAGAGGUGAAAUUCUUGGAUUUAUUGAAGACUAACUACUGCGAAAGCAUUUGCCAAGGAUGUUUUCAUUAAUCAAGAACGAAAGUUAGGGGAUCGAAGACGAUCAGAUACCGUCGUAGUCUUAACCAUAAACUAUGCCGACUAGGGAUCGGAUGAUGUUAAUUUUUUAAUGACUCAUUCGGCGCCUUACGGGA
rnacentral:rRNA from 1 species